UGCACCCCUUGGACCUUACAUGAAUUCGUCGCUGUUUGCAACAGAUUGAUCUUUCAUCUUCAGAGUAAUCGUUACCUCUUUAGUAUUCAUGAAACAAAAACGUUGCACAACUCUUCAGUGACAUAUGCAUAUCCGUUUAACUCACGCAACUCUUCAAUGACACACCUGCUACUCUAGCUAUUUAACCCAUCUUCAACCUUCCAAACUUCAGCUUACACAAAAAGAGGUCGCAAGCAAACAUAACACAUUCUGGGGAUCAAUUUGGCAUCAAAAACAAUUACGUAUCAUCUCAAUAAAUUGCGUUUUGGAGGCAUAUUGUUUGUAGUCGGUGCUUUGAUCUUAGCCUUAUUAUUAAUUCUUAAGCUACAGAUUAGGGAGCUGCCUUUAUUACUCUUAUCUGCUUCUAGAAAACAAAUAUCCAGGUGAUAUUCUGGUAUUCCUCACCGGCCAAGAUGAUAUAGAUCAUGUUGUUCAAUUGCUUAUUGAAGAAGUUCAAGUAAAUGGAAAGAAAUCUUCAGAUAUAAAACACAUGGCAUAAAAUUAUGGCUUGUAGCUGUUAUAUAUGAUCAUUCAAAUUAGUUAUUAUGCUGUUUUCUUGAUUGUUAGGAUUAUCUUGAUGUUUAAUUUUAAAAGCUUUUGAAUUAUUGAUGUAAUAUUGUGGAUACUGUAUUUCUAUGACUUUGGAUUUUGUUGUUAAUAUAAACUUUUAAGCUAUAUUGCUUCCCGUAUUAGAAUUGGACAAGUAAGAUACUCAAUUUUACUCUGAUUUUCAUGACUCAAUUUGUAAAUCUUGGAGAGAUAUAACUAAAGAAAUUAUUAGGACCCGUAAAUAGCGUGGUUGUCUUACUUUUCCCAUCUCACUAAAGCGGGUAUGCAUUUUUCUUCUUAUUUUUGGUAUCUUUCUGUGUUUCAGUAACUAACUACUAAUAUUUUUUGUUGUUGUUUCUUCAUUGGGGGCCAAAAAAGGCUUCGAUUCAAUGCUUUAUUAGGCGAGAAAGGGCUACUUCAACAUAUCAUUUAUAUCUUGGCUUGGACCCUGGUAGACGUUUUAAGUAUUGUAUUUUAGAUAAAACCAUAAUUGGGGAUAUUUACUAUGAUCUUUACCUUCUUUUUUAGUCUAUAAAAUUAAUUGUGGCACCAUUUGAAUUUCAGAGUUUUUGGAAUAUGUGGAUUUAGGAAAUCAACAAAUUUUAAAUCUAUAGAAUGUUAAAUUGAUAGAUGUAGUUGUUCCACCAUUUCGAUUGGAUGUAAAAUCAAUAAUUUUAUAUGGAUGAUUAUGACAAUCCAUCAUCUUAAUUUUUUUGGUGUAUUUUGAUCUUU